AGUCAUUGAUGCCCUGCUUCCAGGAAAAUCUUCUAAGCUUCAGGCUAUUCGAGACCGUACCCCAAACCGACACAGGUGGUCAGGUAGAGAAUACCAAGGCGCUUGAGAGAACUCGGGUAAAGGAACUAGGCAAAAUGGUGCCGUAACUUCGGGAGAAGGCACGCUGGUGGUAAGUGAAAUCCCUGCGGGUG
rnacentral:rRNA from 1 species